rnacentral:rRNA from 1 species
GACGAACGCUGGCGGCGUGCUUAACACAUGCAAGUCGAACGGAAAGGCCCUGCUUUUGUGGGGUGCUCGAGUGGCGAACGGGUGAGUAACACGUGAGUAACCUGCCCUUGACUUUGGGAUAACUUCAGGAAACUGGGGCUAAUACCGGAUAGGAGCUCCUGCUGCAUGGUGGGGGUUGGAAAGUUUCGGCGGUUGGGGAUGGACUCGCGUCUUAUCAGCUUGUUGGUGGGGUAGUGGCUUACCAAGGCUUUGACGGGUAGCCGGCCUGGGAGGGUGACCGGCCACAUUGGAACUGAAAUACGGCCCAGACUAGUACGGGAGGCAGGAGUGGAGAAUAGUGCACAAUGGGCUGAAGCCUGAUGCAGCAACGCCGCGUGCGGGAUGACGGCCUUCGGGUUGUAAACCGCUUUCGCCUGUGACGAAGCGUGAGUGACGGUAAUGGGUAAAGAAGCACCGGCUAACUACGUG